GACGAACCUUGCUAACGUUAUUCGGAAUUCCUGGGCUUAAAGGGUGCGUAGGCGGCGCAGCAAGUUGGGUGUGAAAGCCCCCGGCUCAACUGGGGAGGGUCACUCGAUACUGAUCGACUCGAAGGCAGAAGAGGGAAGCGGAAUUCCCGGUGUAGUGGUGAAAUGCGUAGAUAUCGGGAGGAACACCAGUGGCGAAGGCGGCUUUCUGGUCUGCUCUUGACGCUGAGGCGCGAAAGCUAGGGUAGCAAACGGG
rnacentral:rRNA from 1 species